CCCGCUAACUAUUUCAUCACUUUCACCCUCCCGCUUCUCCCAAAAUGCCUCAAACCCUAAAAAUUCCACACUUUCACUGAAUCACUUUGCCCGCUUCUCUCAAAAUCAACCACUUUCAAUUUGCCGCUUCUCUCAAAAUCGAUUAAAGUCAUCUCAAUUUCUAGGUUUCAAGAUGAUCAGAUUUGGUCUACCUCACAGACGACAGUUCGAUUUCUGUUGGAUUCAAACCCUAUCUCAUGGAUUUGUUAUCCUUCGUCAAACCGAUCCCGCGAACAAGGUUUCGUAUUAUCUCGAUGAAGCAACAGGUUGUAAUUAAUCCAGGAAAUCCUACAGGCCAGGUUCUUACUUAAGAGAACCAAUGAGAUAACGUCGAGUUCUGCAAGAAAGAAGAUUUGGUCCUUUUAGCAGAUGAGGUAAGUGAUUCGCUAUGCAGUUAAUGCGGUAAAAAUUGGAUAUCGGUAAAAAAUCUGAUAUCGGUGAAAUUUAUAUCUGAGCCUCUUUUGAUCGUUUGAGCUACCUGAGUAUGGAAAAAGCCAUUUACACUAACCGCAAAAUAAAACAAGAUUGCUGGUAUCAUUUUCUAUUUAUUUGCCAACUCUCUUUUAAAUGCUAUGAUGAUGCAUUUGAAGUUCUUUAUGCCGAAAGGUUUUAGUAUUGCUGAAUAGAGCCGUUCAUAGUCUUUACUAGCUGUUUUUAAGGAUAUUAUCCCUAGGUAUAUUAUUUAAUCAUGUAAAUACUAUUUUUUCAUACAUUCACAUUAUUAACUGUAUAUUGUUUGUCAUUUUCAGAACAAGAACUGUAUUAGGCUACCUACUGAAAAAGAGCUUGCAAUGGUCGGUUUCGGGGCCGAAUCAUAGUUUACAGUGUCUAAACCUUUAAAUGAACAAACACACAUUGACAUAAAUGAAUACAUAGCCGGACGUUCAUGAACAUAAGCGAACGAUCGCAGCCUUUGUUCAUCUUCGUUUUUUUAACUUACCAAAUGAAAUUUCGUGUUCGUGUUUGUUCAUUUAUUAAACGAAUGAACAUAAACGAAUUUUCUGCCGAAUGGUUCACAAACUGUUGGCUGAAUGUUCGGUUCGUUUACAGCCCUAAAAAACUAGUUUUUUCGUGGGAUCAUUUCUGGAUAAAUUAGUGGCGUGAACAAUGGUUAAUGAACUGGGAAUAUUUACUUGCAGCAAAAGAAAACUGACCAAGCUGAGAAAGUAAUAAAAACAUUAUAUAGUGACGGAAAAGUUGUAGAGGUUAUGGCUGACAUAAGUACGUCUGGUCAAGGUUCAGAAGAACAAGAUGCUGGUUGGUUUGAUCUUUUCAGCGCCCGAUAUUUCAAAGUUGUGAGCGUUGGUGCAACCCUUUUCUUAUUCCAACAGUUGGCUGGAAUAAACGUUGUCGUGUACUAUUCAACCUCUGUGUUCCGCACCGCAGGAGUUGCAUCUGAUGUGGCAGCCAGUGCUCUUGUUGGGGCUACAAAUGUUUUCGGCACAAUGAUCGCGUCAUCUUUGAUGGACAAACAAGGACGGAAAAGUCUUCUGAUCACAAGCUUUUCCGGAAUGGAGAGGAUAAUGUUCUUGAACUUCCACUAGCUCAAGUUCCUAAGUUGGCUGGCUACACAAGCUGAGCAACAGCAAUGGGUCAAAACAACAAAGCAACCACGAAGUUAAAAAGUUCUCUUGAUGUCAUACGCUAUAGCGCGUGUUGGCGAUGUUUUGGCAUUCGUUGCCCGCGCCGCAACGCGCGCGAGGUUAAAUUCUAGUUAAGAUUACUUUGGAAAAGGAUAAUGGAUGAAAAUCCUAAGGAUGUUUUUGAUAAGAUACUGAGACGCCAUGUGGUCAAAGUUUAUAAUGUGGAAACAUACCCUUCUCAAGUUCUAUUUAUUGCUGCAAAAAUGAACAACACGCAAUUUUUGGUUGAGCUGAUUCGUGAAUAUCCUGAUCUUAUAUGGAAGACAUAUGAUGAUGGACAAACUAUCUUUCACACUGCAGUUGCUCAAUGUCAUCACUAUAUAUACAGUAUUAUAUCUGAUUGGGUCUGAUAACUCAUGUCAUAGAUCAACAAGGCAAUAAUAUUCUACAUAUGGUUGGAAAGAUUCCAGAGAAAUAUGCUUAUAAGGGCUAGGUUGCUCCUCCUUUUCGAAUGUUUCAUGAAUUUCUGUGGUACAAGGAAGUAAAGGGUAUGCUCUCUCCUCAAUAUAGAGAUGUAAAGAAUGAAGCAGGAAAAUCACCACAAGAACUUUUCACAGAGAACCACGAGAAACUAGUAUUAGAAGCUUUUUCAUUUUGUAUGGUAAAAGUGGGUGGGUGUAUAUGCUCAACGCUGGUGCUUAUCCAUUGGUGGUGUAUGCAUAUAUAUUGUCUUUGGAACGAUGAAAGGAACACUUCUAUCCGGGUAUCUCUUUAGACCCAAAAACCCUAAAAGGAAAUAAUUCUUUAUAUUGCUAUUACUGUUUGCUAUGAUGUUUUUUUUUUCAGGAUACACUUACUAUAGCAAUUCUUUCCAACAGCAACAGCUCAUGGAUGCAAAUUAUAGUCCUAAAGCAGAGAUUAUAUCGACUUGAAGAAAACCACCUAGAAAUAGUUCCUAGUUUGUGUAGUCAUUUUCGUUUGCAACUUUUGUAGAUAGGUUUCGGUUAGAUAUGUGUGUCUUUAGUAUUUUCAAUAAAAAACUUACAUAUGGAUUUUUGGUUAAUAUCAUUUGGUUUUAGAUUUUCUA